rnacentral:rRNA from 1 species
AUUGAACGCUGGCGGCAGGCCUAACACAUGCAAGUCGAGCGGAUGAAGGGAGCUUGCUCCUGGAUUCAGCGGCGGACGGGUGAGUAAUGCCUAGGAAUCUGCCUGGUAGUGGGGGAUAACGUCCGGAAACGGGCGCUAAUACCGCAUACGUCCUGAGGGAGAAAGUGGGGGAUCUUCGGACCUCACGCUAUCAGAUGAGCCUAGGUCGGAUUAGCUAGUUGGUGGGGUAAAGGCCUACCAAGGCGACUAUCCGUAACUGGUCUGAGAGGAUGACCAGUCACACUGGAACUGAGACACGGUCCAGACUCCUACGGGAGGCAGCAGUGGGGAAUAUUGGACAAUGGGCGAAAGCCUGAUCCAGCCAUGCCGCGUGUGUGAAGAAGGUCUUCGGAUUGUAAAGCACUUUAAGUUGGGAGGAAGGGCAGUAAGUUAAUACCUUGCUGUUUUGACGUUACCAACAGAAUAAGCACCGGCUAACUUCGUG